AUCUUCCUAGUAUUUAUAGUAUAAAUGGCUUCCAACCAUUUGGGCCUGGUAAAACCCAGGGGAAGGUA
rnacentral:tRNA from 1 species